GUAGGGGCCUCCGUGGCCGAGUGGUUAAAGUCGUUGACUUGAGAUCACAGGUCCCUCACCACUGUAGGUUCGAUCCUCACUCGGGUCGAAAUCUUUCAUGUGAGGAAGCCAUCCAGCUGGCUUACGGAAGGUCGGUGGUUCUACCCAGGUGCCCGCUCGUGCCUGAAAUAAUGCCCGGAGGGGCACCUGGGGUCUUCCUCCACCAAUAAAGCUGGAAAAAAAAUCGACGAAAAAUCUCGGCGGGACGCUCUAGGAUGACCCGACUUGAGUGUACGGUCGCCCAUAUGGGUUUCCGGCGGCGACCUUAAAUAAACGCAUCAAAAAAAAAAAAAAAAUUGGCUUCUUGCACAGUGUGUCUCCGUUGAAAAAAAGUUCCAAACCCACUAAAAGUACUUCAGACAAGCAACGGUGGGUUACAAAGUGGCUACAGAAGACAAUUAUUUGAGAGAGCCAAUGGUAUAAUAAUCAAGGAUAUCUUGCAAGUGGGACAUGAGGCAAAACAGACAUACUUGAUGUUUAAUUCAGAGACUUUAUCCAGUUGAUAAACUGGUGUUAUUAGAGAGAACCAAGAAUAUGUUGAAAGUUGGACAUGAAGCCAAAACAGAAAUUCAGAGGCUUUAUCCUGUUAAUAAACUAGUAAGUGAA